rnacentral:rRNA from 1 species
AGGACUCUCGGCAACGGAUAUCUCGGCUCUCGCAUCGAUGAAGAACGUACCGAAAUGCGAUACUUGGUGUGAAUUGCAGAAUCCCGUGAACCAUCGAGUCUUUGAACGCAAGUUGCGCCCGAAGCCACUAGGCCGAGGGCACGUCUGCCUGGGUGUCA